AGAGUUUGAUCCUGGCUCAGGACGAACGCUGGCGGCGUGCCUAAUACAUGCCAAGUAGAACGCUGAAGACUGGUGCUUGCACUAGUCAGAUGAGUUGCGAACGGGUGAGUAACGCGUAGGUAACCUACCUCAUAGCGGGGGAUAACUAUUGGAAACGAUAGCUAAUACCGCAUGACAAUUAAGUACUCAUGUACUAAAUUUAAAAGGAGCAAUUGCUUCACUAUGAGAUGGACCUGCGUUGUAUUAGCUAGUUGGUGAGGUAACGGCUCACCAAGGCCACGAUACAUAGCCGACCUGAGAGGGUGAUCGGCCACACUGGGACUGAGACACGGCCCAGACUCCUACGGGAGGCAGCAGUAGGGAAUCUUCGGCAAUGGGGGCAACCCUGACCGAGCAACGCCGCGUGAGUGAAGAAGGUUUUCGGAUCGUAAAGCUCUGUUGUUAGAGAAGAACGGUAAUGGGAGUGGAAAAUCCAUUACGUGACGGUAACUAACCAGAAAGGGACGGCUAACUACGUGCCAGCAGCCGCGGUAAUACGUAGGUCUCGAGCGUUGUCCGGAUUUAUUGGGCGUAAAGCGAGCGCAGGCGGUUAUUUAAGUCUGAAGUUAAAGGCCGUGGCUCAACCAUGGUUCGCUUUGGAAACUGGAUAACUUGAGUGCAGAAGGGGAGAGUGGAAUUCCAUGUGUAGCGGUGAAAUGCGUAGAUAUAUGGAGGAACACCGGUGGCGAAAGCGGCUCUCUGGUCUGUAACUGACGCUGAGGCUCGAAAGCGUGGGGAGCAAACAGGAUUAGAUACCCUGGUAGUCCACGCCGUAAACGAUGAGUGCUAGGUGUUAGGCCCUUUCCGGGGCUUAGUGCCGCAGCU
rnacentral:rRNA from 1 species